rnacentral:rRNA from 1 species
AGAGUUUGAUCCUGGCUCAGGAUGAACGCUGGCGGCGUGCUUAACACAUGCAAGUCGAACGGGAAUGCCUCGCUGAUGCGAUUUCGGUCAAAUCUUGAAGCAUUUUAGUGGCGGACGGGUGAGUAACGCGUGGGUAACCUGCCCUGUACAGGGGGACAACAGUUGGAAACGACUGCUAAUACCGCAUAAGCGCACAGCUCCGCAUGAAGCAGUGUGAAAAACUCCGGUGGUACAGGAUGGACCCGCGUCUGAUUAGAUAGUUGGUGAGGUAACGGCCCACCAAGUCAACGAUCAGUAGCCGGCCUGAGAGGGCGAACGGCCACAUUGGGACUGAGACACGGCCCAAACUCCUACGGGAGGCAGCAGUGGGGAAUAUUGCGCAAUGGGGGAAACCCUGAUGCAGCGACGCCGCGUGGAGGAAGAAGGUCUUCGGAUUGUAAACUCCUGUUGUUGAGGAAGAUAAUGACGGUACUCAACAAGGAAGUGACGGCUAACUACGUGCCAGCAGCCGCGGUAAAACGUAGGUCACAAGCGUUGUCCGGAAUUACUGGGUGUAAAGGGAGCGCAGGCGGGCGAUCAAGUUGGAAGUGAAAUCCAUGGGCUCAACCCAUGAACUGCUUUCAAAACUGAUUGUCUUGAGUAGUGCAGAGGUAGGCGGAAUUCCCGGUGUAGCGGUGGAAUGCGUAGAUAUCGGGAGGAACACCAGUGGCGAAGGCGGCCUACUGGGCACCAACUGACGCUGAGGCUCGAAAGUGUGGGUAGCAAACAGGAUUAGAUACCCUGGUAGUCCACACCGUAAACGAUGAUUACUAGGUGUUGGAGGAUUGACCCCUUCAGUGCCGCAGUUAACACAAUAAGUAAUCCACCUGGGGAGUACGACCGCAAGGUUGAAACUCAAAGGAAUUGACGGGGGCCCGCACAAGCAGUGGAGUAUGUGGUUUAAUUCGACGCAACGCGAAGAACCUUACCAAGUCUUGACAUCCUGCGACGAUGCUAGAAAUAGUAUUUUCCUUCGGGACGCAGAGACAGGUGGUGCAUGGUUGUCGUCAGCUCGUGUCGUGAGAUGUUGGGUUAAGUCCCGCAACGAGCGCAACCCUUAUGGUCAGUUACUACGCAAGAGGACUCUGGCCAGACUGCCGUUGACAAAACGGAGGAAGGUGGGGAUGACGUCAAAUCAUCAUGCCCUUUAUGACUUGGGCUACACACGUACUACAAUGGCGUUAAACAAAGAGAAGCAAGACCGCGAGGUGGAGCAAAACUCAGAAACAACGUCCCAGUUCGGACUGCAGGCUGCAACUCGCCUGCACGAAGUCGGAAUUGCUAGUAAUCGUGGAUCAGCAUGCCACGGUGAAUACGUUCCCGGGCCUUGUACACACCGCCCGUCACACCAUGAGAGCCGGGGGGACCCGAAGUCGGUAGUCUAACCGCAAGGAGGACGCCGCCGAAGGUAAAACUGGUGAUUGGGGUGAAGUCGUAACAAGGUA